GAACCCGCAGCCCCCGGCCCUCCUUUCUGCCCGCCUCCCCGGGCGGGGAGAGCACCCGGUCCCGGCCGCCUCCUCCUCCUCCUCCCCGUCCCCUUCCCUGCCCUCCCGGUGCCGCUGCCAGGGCCGAAGCCGCGGCCUUUUUUCUUGGAUUUAAGUACUGGAAAACUCUCUAAUGACAACUUUGCUUAGGAGCUGAGCAUCGUGACCUGCCCUGCUCCUCCCUGCUUGGUGUGGGAACGACCUGAAGGACAUCUUGGAGUCACCUGUACUGCUUCAUGCAGUUAAAUGUUCUGAGGUCAUGAAACUUAAUCCACAGCAAGCUCCAUUAUAUG